AUUCCUACGGGAGGUGGCACGGGGGAAUAUGGUGCAAUGGGUGAAAGCCUGACCCUAACUUGUCGCGAGUGUGUAGAAGGCCUUCGGGUCGUAUAGAACAUUUUGAGGGGAGGAAAGAGGGCUUCACUCACUAGGGGGGGCUGACGUGGCUUCCGAAAAAGGACCGGCUAAUUACAUGCCAGUAGCCGCGGUAAU
rnacentral:rRNA from 1 species